UGUGAAGUUUCUUGUUCUAAAUCCACUCUGAUCCUGUAUUUGAUAAUGUCUAUAAACCCCUCUAUUUCAGCCCUGCUCAGAACAGGCUGUUUCUGUGUCUGUACCUUUAAAUAUGUAAAUGAGCUGUGUCUGACCACGCCCCCUCUCUGGAAGGGCUUGGGUGGCUCAGGCUUUCUCGCUGUAUGCCCUAUUGUUGCCAGUGAGAAGGCAGACUCAGAGGGCAGAACAAGGCUGUGGGAGUGUCACCCACCUGAGGGAGGGGUUACUGCCCUUUGUGAUGUCAUGAAGGGAAAAUCUCCAAACGGCCUGUUUGAGCACACAUUUUCUGAAAAGUGGAGCAGGAAAAAGAUGAGGAGGAUGGACUUUUCUCAUCAUUGGGGGGUGUGUAGACGGACUAGAGACACAUAUUAGUGUUAGAGAAACAUGGUGAAGUGUAUUUUAAAUAACAUGACCUUUAAAUUGUUGAAAACAUUCAGACGUGACAUCAAAUACUGCAGCUUUAAUUCACUAGUGGAAAUUCAUAUCACAGUUGUCAACAUAUGUUCAGAGAGUUUUUCAAACAUGAAACCUUUCCUUUUAUUUGAUGGAAUUUUUUGUUCCAUUCCAUGUUAAGGUCUAAACCAAGCAGAAUCGCCCCCAAUCUGUAAAAAGUCUGUGAGUUCAUUUGACCUUGUAAAAUAUUGUAUAUUGUAUUUAUCUUAAGCUUAAGAAGCUUUGCUUGGUAAGUGUUUCAUUUUUUACAUGAACUGUUUCAUCCACGUCUCUUUAUUUAUUUGCCUUUUUUUGUGAUGAAAAAAAGUUUCUGGUUUCUUUGUAAUGUUGAUCUGAUCUUUUCUUGCAAUCGUUACUCGCUCGAUUCUCAUGAAAUAAAAGAACUCAGAUAAAAACACUGAUUGUAGAUCUA